rnacentral:rRNA from 1 species
ACGAAGGGGGCUAGCGUUGCUCGGAAUUACUGGGCGUAAAGCGCACGUAGGCGGCUCUCUAAGUCGGGGGUGAAAUCCUGGAGCUCAACUCCAGAACUGCCUUCCAAACUGCUUUGCUUGAGUCCGGGAGAGGUGAGUGGAAUUCCCAGUGUAGCGGUGAAAUGCGUAGAUAUUGGGAGGAACACCAGUGGCGAAGGCGGCUCACUGGACCGGAACUGACGCUGAGGCGCGAAAGCGUGGGGAGCAAACGGGA